CCAGUCAGGACUGCUUCCUCUCUCCGCCGCCGGCCUGGGCUGGAGCAGGCACGUCUGUGAUUCAGGGAAGACCCACUCAGAAUGUGAGUGGUACCAUCCUAUCAGCUAGGUUCCAAGACUGAACAAAGUAGGGAAAAGGAGAAAGCCAGCAACCAAGGAUUGAAUUUUGGACAUUAUGCAUGCUGGUCAAAUGCUCUACCAUUGAACUACAUCACUCUGAAGUUCUUAAGUCCUUUCUAUGGUAUUUAAGUCACAGAAAUGCAGAUGUGACUAAUACCCCAUCUCAGAAAAUUGUAAGAGUGUAUAGAGGUGUACAGUCACCAUUCCUCCAAAUAACAAGUACCAAAGAGAAGAGAGGAGAAGGUAUUUGAAACCAGUUGGUAAACGUCAAGGACUACUCAUGGGAACUCCAAGGCAGUGUUUCUCCUGAGGUUCCUAAAGAAGACAGACAUUCAUACUAAGGUCUUGAAAAACUCCCAAAAUGUAGCAGAUAAGGGCCUGUUCUUUCUACCUAUUUUAAGAAGGUUUUGACUAAUUAGUGUUAAAAACUGUUAAAGAGCUCCCGAUGGACUCUAAACAGGCUUAUCAGUAGGCAGAUGUUGAUGUGGCAGGGAUGGUAGUGGAAUUCUACAAUGGGAUAACUUGUUAGCUCAAUUUCUCUGUCUAAAAAUGUUAACUUUGUUAGUGAUUGCUGGUUAGUGUUAGAGAUGGGGAAAGUGGUUAGAAAGCACAGUUCUGUAGCCAGUGUCUCUUGCUCCUGUGAAAGGAUACUUUAAAAAAGGACAGCUGAGGGGGCUAGAGAGAUAGCUCAGUGAUUAAGAACAUGGAGUUCAAAUCCCAGCAAGCACAUGGUGGUUCACAACUAUCUAUAAGGGCAUCUGAUGUCCUCUCCUGGUAUGUGGGUGUACAAGCAGCAAAAUACUUAUGAAAGAAAGAAAGUUAAAGGACAACUGAAGAGAAUAUCCAAUUUUUUUUGAAAGGCAGAUGACUCAAGACUAAAUACCCUCUCUACUGAUGUUGAUGAAAGUNAUCUUGUUGUUUUCAAUCUUGU
rnacentral:lncRNA from 1 species